rnacentral:rRNA from 1 species
AUGGCGAGCGACCCCGGCGGCGACGGCGACGCGUGCCCGCUAUGCGGCAGCGGGGAUGACCAGGCGCCGGUGACGGCCGCCCCUGCGCGCGUCACGCUCCGCAAGCGGAACCUGCCAGCGGAGGCCGUCGCGCGGGUGGGGCCCGGCGACGAGGCGGCCGCGCCGCGUGAGGCGGUCGCGUGGCAGCAGAGCGGCAUGGUGGAGCUGCAGGAGGAGCUCGAGGCGGAGCGCCGCGCCGCUGCCGAGGCCGCCAGCGAGGCCAUGUCCAUGAUCCUGCGCCUGCAGCGGGACAAGUCAGAGGCCAUGAUGGAGGCGCGCCAGUUCCGGCGGUUCGCCGAGGAGCGGUUCGCGCACGACGCCUCCGAGGUCGCCGCCCUCCACGACGCCAUCGCGCGGCGUGAUGCCUCCAUCCAGUCGCUCUCGGAGCAGCUCCGGGUGUGCCGCUCCCGCCUCAUCCAGCUCGGGUUCCUCUCCCCGUCGUUCCUCCCCUCAUCUCCCACAGCCGCCGCGGGGGACAACCUCUUCGCUGACGACUACCCUUCCAUCCAAUGCCUCGAUUAUCCUGCGCCCUCCGACGUCGGUACUCCACGCACCCACCACAUGCUCUAUACAAUGCCCGGCCGAGAUGCCCAUAAGGGGGUCAUCUGCUCUUCACCACGGCGCCAGCGCCAUGGGCGCGCACUCUCCAAUGACAGCUUGUAUGAUGGCGGCAUUGCAGCGGCUGAUGAGUUCACGUACGUGGUGGAGCAGGACGUGUCGGAACUGGAUGAUGACUGCGACCGGGUGUACACUGUGGACGCAGUGCAUCGCGUGCCUGUCGCCGCACCUGAGGACUGCUGCUACUUUCAGACACCGAUGGGGAACGACGUGGGCUUUGUUGAUGGGGUUGGGGCGUGGGCUGAGGAGCAGCGGAUACAAAAGCUCAGUGCAAGGCUACAAGCGCUGGAGGCAGAUCGGGAGUCGAUGCGGCAUGCAAUCAUGUCAAUGGGAGCAGAGAAGGCGCAGGUUGUGAUGCUCAAGGAUAUCGCUCACCAGCUCUGCGAGGAGGCAGCACCAUUGCCUGCAGUUUCAUUGAAAUUGCAUCCAGUGCCGCAAGCGGUAGUAGCGCCAAAGAGGAAGUUGGUGAAGAGGCAGCCUUUCUGCGUGAAAUUCUUCAUUGUGACCGCAAUUAAGUGGAUUGUAUCUGUCUUUUCCCGGCAAAAGAAAUUAGAUCGCAUCAAGUACCCAUUUGGCUUGUGCGGGAGCUAUGUUGGACUAAUGCUGCUGCUUGAUAGGUCCCACAAACAGAGAUACAGAAGAUUUCUUAAGAGAGCUAGGUGA